AUUGAACGCUGGCGGCAUGCCUUACACAUGCAAGUCGAACGGCAGCACGGGUGCUUGCACCUGGUGGCGAGUGGCGAACGGGUGAGUAAUAUAUCGGAACGUACCUUAUUGUGGGGGAUAACGCAGCGAAAGCUGUGCUAAUACCGCAUAAUCCCUUAGGGGGAAAGCGGGGGACCGUAAGGCCUCGCGCAAUUAGAGCGGCCGAUACCUGAUUAGCUAGUUGGUGAGGUAAAGGCUCACCAAGGCAACGAUCAGUAGCUGGUCUGAGAGGACGAUCAGCCACACUGGGACUGAGACACGGCCCAGACUCCUACGGGAGGCAGCAGUGGGGAAUUUUGGACAAUGGGGGCAACCCUGAUCCAGCAAUGCCGCGUGAGUGAAGAAGGCCUUCGGGUUGUAAAGCUCUUUUGUCAGGGAAGAAACAGCAGCUCUAACACAGUCUGCGAAUGACGGUACCUGAAGAAUAAGCACCGGCUAACUACGUG
rnacentral:rRNA from 1 species